rnacentral:rRNA from 1 species
AGAACCUGAAACCGUGUACGUACAAGCAGUAGGAGCACCUUCGUGGUGUGACUGCGUACCUUUUGUAUAAUGGGUCAGCGACUUAUAUUCAGUGGCAAGGUUAACCGUAUAGGGGAGCCGUAGCGAAAGCGAGUCUUAACUGGGCGCUCAGUCUCUGGAUAUAGACCCGAAACCGGGUGAUCUAGCCAUGGGCAGGUUGAAGGUUGAGUAACAUCAACUGGAGGACCGAACCGACUAAUGUUGAAAAAUUAGCGGAUGACUUGUGGCUAGGGGUGAAAGGCCAAUCAAACUCGGAGAUAGCUGGUUCUCCCCGAAAGCUAUUUAGGUAGCGCCUCGGACGAAUACUACUGGGGGUAGAGCACUGUUAAGGCUAGGGGGUCAUCCCGACUUACCAACCCUUUGCAAACUCCGAAUACCAGUAAGUACUAUCCGGGAGACACACGGCGGGUGCUAACGUCCGUCGUGGAGAGGGAAACAACCCAGACCGCCAGCUAAGGUCCCAAAGUAUUGCUAAGUGGGAAACGAUGUGGGAAGGCUCAGACAGCUAGGAUGUUGGCUUAGAAGCAGCCAUCAUUUAAAGAAAGCGUAAUAGCUCACUAGUCGAGUCGGCCUGCGCGGAAGAUGUAACGGGGCUAAGCAAUACACCGAAGCUGCGGCAAUGUCUUUUAGACAUUGGGUAGGGGAGCGUUCUGUA